rnacentral:lncRNA from 1 species
GCUUCAUUGAUGACAAUUAUGUUCCCCGCUACAACGCAACCACAGGAUUCACAUCUAGUUAUUCAAAGAAAACCAAACACGAUUUCACAAUCUGCGGGGGUCGAUUGACCGGCUUCGCAGCAGAUAAAUUCUCGAACACAGUCUGCGGAGGUCGAUUAACCGGCUUCGCAGCAGAUAAAGCCUCGAAUACAAUCUGCGGGGGUCGAUUGACCGGCUUCGCAGCAGAUAAAGUCCCGAAUACAAUCUGCGGGGGUCGACUGACCGGCUUCGCAGCAGAAAAACUCUCGAACACAAUCUGCGGGGGUCGUUUGACC